rnacentral:rRNA from 1 species
CCUGGGAGCGGCAUAACCCCGGGAAACUGGGGAUAAUUCCGGACAACGCAUAUUUGCUGGAAUGCUUUAUGCGUCAAAAGGAUUCGUCUGCCCAAGGAUGGGUCUGCGGCCUAUCAGGUAGUAGUGGGUGUAAUGUACCUACUAGCCAGCGACGGGUACGGGUUGUGAGAGCAAGAGCCCGGAGAUGGAUUCUGAGACAUGAAUCCAGGCCCUACAGGGCGCAGCAGGCGCGAAAACUUUACAAUGCGGGAAACCGUGAUAAGGGGACACCGAGUGCCAGCAUCAUAUGCUGGCUGUCCGGAUGUGUAAAAUACAUCCGUUAGCAAGGGCCGGGCAAGACCGGUGCCAGCCGCCGCGGUAACACCGGCGGCCCGAGUGGUGAUCGUGAUUAUUGGGUCUAAAGGGUCCGUAGCCGGUUUGGUCAGUCCUCCGGGAAAUCUGAUAGCUCAACUAUUAGGCUUUCGGGGGAUACUGCCAGACUUGGAACCGGGAGAGGUAAGAGGUACUACAGGGGUAGGAGUGAAAUCUUGUAAUCCCUGUGGGACCACCUGUGGCGAAGGCUUCUUACCAGAACGGGUUCGACGGUGAGGGACGAAAGCUGGGGGCACGAACCGGAUUAGAUACCCGGGUAGUCCCAGCCGUAAACGAUGCUCGCUAGGUGUCAGGCAUGGCGCGACCGUGUCUGGUGCCGCAGGGAAGCCGUGAAGCGAGCCACCUGGAAUACGCCCCGCAA